rnacentral:lncRNA from 1 species
UAGUUGGUUGGUUCUCAACACAAUAAACUUUAAAGAAAAGAAUCAUCAAAAUAUACACAUCAAUUUUCUCGCCGUCCCAAUAGAAAGAACUGAAAAUUUUCUAUAAUAAAAAUGGACACAGAAGUAUAGAAAAUGAAUUCAUUCCCAGGUACAUUUUUAAGUAAAACAAUAACAUCUUUUGCACUCGUGAAGAAGCCAAGCAUGUGUAUGAAAUACCAGUGUCUCUUUUUGCAGUGUACAGGAGAUUUCCAGUUUGGCCAGUAUGUAUGCACUGAAAGUUUAAGCUACACUUCUCUUUCCCUUAAACCUAGCAUUACCAGUUCUAUCACCUGCAGCGUUCUUCUUUCGCCUUGGAGCAUUAACACCAGCAGAGUCGACCAAUGGGCCUGACCAAGUUUGUACUGGCUCCUUUGAACAAGUGAAUGAAGUGGAGCUAUAUGGGAUAUCAGGGGGAAUGACUGCUGGAUCAAAAUGUUGAGAUGAUCCUAAAGGAUAGCCAAGUGUCCCAUCCUGGUGAGGUGGAGGAAACUUCUCACUCUUGCUCUUUGCAUUCGCAUAGGUAAUUAGUCGUCUCCUCUGUGUUAGGAAGAAAAAAAAAAUGUUGUCAAUAAUUCAAGCAAGUCAUCAAGUGUAAAUAAAACUCAAAUUGAGUGUCCGAUUCAAUGAAAUGUCUCUAGAAUUGGCAUUGUCAUUAACACUAAUGCAGAUUAUUAGAUACUCGAUAUCGGAUGAUAGUACCUUACAACUAGCACACAUGGAAUAUAUGUUGCUUCAGCUUAUAUGAUGAAAUAGCAAUUCCAUAAACUAAAGCUCGUUCGUAAGUGAAAUGAUAACUUAUGACUUCCCAACUGGCAUUGGUGCAUGGAUUCUUUUCAAAUCCAAUGGCAACGGGGAGGAGCCAGAAAGCACAAAUAAUAUAGUACUGCUGCUCUCUGCUUAAUGCUAACUUGAUUUAUUUGGUUAUUUCUUGAAUGAUAAAACUAAAACCACGGUGCAUAAUCAUCCAAGAAUUUGCAAGUGAAAGCAACUGCACAAAAAUGAAAACAAUGGUGCACAGACAUACAUCAAUAUUAGAUUGAAGCUCGGCAUUGGAUUCUGGAGCAGGCAUUGCCCUAACAGCACGAUCGCGUGUCCGUGUUUUCUUUACAUUUUCACCCUGGGCCUUUGCAGCAGCUCUUUGUCUGCAAAACAUGAAUAAAGUUUACAUAUUAACAAGAGAGAGACACUAAGUAGACAUGUUAUACAAACACAAGAGGUACAAAAUCCAGGUGUGUAUAUAUAUAUAUAUAUAUAUAUAUAAGAAUGAAUUUGUCAAGGUAUCUGUUGAAAAAAUUGAAGUUGCCACUUAAAAGAAACACUGAAAGAAAGAAAACAUAAGAAUGGAGAUUUCUUUUUUCCACUAAUUUAUGAAGUAGUUGGUUGGUUCUCAACACAAUAAACUUUAAAGAAAAGAAUCAUCAAAAUAUACACAUCAAUUUUCUCGCCGUCCCAAUAGAAAGAACUGAAAAUUUUCUAUAAUAAAAAUGGACACAGAAGUAUAGAAAAUGAAUUCAUUCCCAGGUACAUUUUUAAGUAAAACAAUAACAUCUUUUGCACUCGUGAAGAAGCCAAGCAUGUGUAUGAAAUACCAGUGUCUCUUUUUGCAGUGUACAGGAGAUUUCCAGUUUGGCCAGUAUGUAUGCACUGAAAGUUUAAGCUACACUUCUCUUUCCCUUAAACCUAGCAUUACCAGUUCUAUCACCUGCAGCGUUCUUCUUUCGCCUUGGAGCAUUAACACCAGCAGAGUCG